rnacentral:rRNA from 1 species
GGUAGUCCACGCUGUAAACGAUGAGUACUAGGUGUCGGGGGUAUCGACCCCCUCGGUGCCGCAGCUAACGCGAUAAGUGCCCCGCCUGGGGACUACGGCCGCAAGGUUAAAACUCAAAGGAAUUGACGGGGCCCGCACAAGCGGUGGAGCAUGUGAUUCAAUUCGACGCAACGCGAAGAACCUUACCCGGGCUAGACAACAGAGGACACCCCUAGAAAUAGGGUCUUCCCUUCGGGGGACCUCUGGUUCAGGUGCUGCAUGGCUGUCGUCAGCUCGUGCCGUGAGGUGUUGGGUUAAG